AGUGAACGCUGGCGGUAGGCCUAACACAUGCAAGUCGAACGGCAGCACAGUAAGAGCUUGCUCUUACGGGUGGCGAGUGGCGGACGGGUGAGGAAUACAUCGGAAUCUACUUUUUCGUGGGGGAUAACGUAGGGAAACUUACGCUAAUACCGCAUACGACCUACGGGUGAAAGCAGGGGAUCUUCGGACCUUGCGCGACUGAAUGAGCCGAUGUCGGAUUAGCUAGUUGGCGGGGUAAAGGCCCACCAAGGCGACGAUCCGUAGCUGGUAUGAGAGGAUGAUCAGCCACACUGGAACUGAGACACGGUCCAGACUCCUAAGAGAGGGAGCAGUGGGGAAUAUUGGACAAUGGGCGCAAGCCUGAUCCAGCCAUACCGCGUGGGUGAAGAAGGCCUUCUGGUUGUAAAGCCCUUUUGUUGGGAAAGAAAAGCAGCAGGUGAAUACCCCGCUGUUCUGACGGUACCCAAAGAAUAAGCACCGGCUAACUUCGUG
rnacentral:rRNA from 1 species